CAGUCGCCGCGGUAACACGUAGGGUGCGAGCGUUAAUCGGAAUUACUGGGCGUAAAGCGUGCGCAGGCGGUUUUGUAAGGCAGGCGUGAAAUCCCCGGGCUCAACCUGGGAAUGGCGCUUGUGACUGCAAAGCUAGAGUGCGGCAGAGGGGGAUGGAAUUCCGCGUGUAGCAGCGAAAUGCGUAGAUAUGCGGAGGAACACCGAUGGCGAAGGCAAUCCCCUGGGCCUGCACUGACGCUCAUGCACGAAAGCGUGGGGAGCAAACAGGAUUAGAUACCCGGGUAGUCCAUGUCUCUUAUAC
rnacentral:rRNA from 1 species